UUGUUGCGGUUAAAAAGCUCGUAGUUGGAGUUCUGUUGCGGAAAACUGGUCCGUCUAUCGGGCGGUAUCUAGAUAUUGCGUAUCAUCUUCUUGAAAAGCUUUGCUGUGCUUGAUUGCAUGGUGUGGGAAUCAGGACAUUACUUUGAGGAAUUUAGAGUGUUUCAAGCAGGUUUGUGCUGAAAUAGCCUAGCAUGGAAUAAUAACAUGGGGUCUUGGUCUUGUUUGUUGGUUUCUAGGCUGAGGAAACAAUCAAUAGGGAUAGCUGGGGGCAUUUGUACUUAACUGUCAGAGGUGAAAUUCUUGGAUUUGUUAAAGACAAACUACUGCGAAAGCAUUUGUCAAGGAUGUUUUCAUUGAUCAAGAACGAAAGUUAAGGGAUCGAAGACGAUCAGAUACCGUCCUAGUCUUAACCAUAAACAAUGCCAUCUAGAGAUUGGAGGUAGUGCCAAGGAUUACUUCUUCAGCAUCAUUUGAGAAAUCAAAGCUUUUGGGUUCCGGGGGGAGUAUGGUCGCAAGGCUGAAACUUAAAGGAAUUGACGGAAGGGCACCACCAGGAGUGGAGCCUGCGGCUUAAUGUGACUCAACACGGGAAAACUCACCAGAACCAGACAUAAACAGGAUUGACAGAUUGAUAGCUCUUUCUUGAUUUUAUGGGUGGUGGUGCAUGUCCGUUCUUAGUUGGUGGAGUGAUCUGUCUGGUUAAUUCCGUUAACGAACGAGACCUUGUCUUACUAAAUAGUUACAUGUAACUUUGGUU
rnacentral:rRNA from 1 species